ACAAGGCCAAGCAACAGCUUCAACAAAUUGGAAUUUCUCAACAAUACUUUCCUGUUCUUCAAGAAUGUGCCACAAAGGCCAUCAAAGCAGGAGCCGAGGCAGUUCCCGGUGAAACACAUUUAACUGGCAUUUCAUUAAUAACCCUUGAAGGACUAUUCUCCUCGCUCAGUUAUUUUUUCUCUGGAAAUGGAUGUCAUGCAAAUGAUUAUCAGCUUGCAUUGCAACGCUAUGUCAAGCGAGAUGG